UGACUAGGAACUGAAGGAGGAGAGUAUGACUAGGAACUGAAGGAGGAGAGUAUGACUAGGAACUGAAGGAGGAGAGUAUGACUAGGAACUGAAGGAGGAGCGCACGACUAGGAUCUGAAGGAGGAGACCUAGCAACAGCAAACUAGCUAGCUGACUAAAUUGCCAUAAAUGUUUAAUGCUUUUCGACCUGUCCCCAAAUUUAAUGUAAUUUCAACCUGCGUGUCCUGAUCGCGUCUGGUGUGGACGUGCAAAAUCAGCAUGUGUGCGAUGACGUCUAGUCAGCAUGUUAUGCUGCAAUCUGAGUAGGAAGUUGUCACAGCAUCCUGACUGUUUACUGCAAUCUGUUACUAUGCAGGAUCUGGAAGGAAAGAGAAGCUGGUUACUGCUUACUAUGCAGGAUCUGGAAGGAAAGAGAAGCUGGUUACUGCUUACUAUGCAGGAUCUGGAAGGAAAGAGAAGCUGGUUACUGCUUACUAUGCAGGAUCUGGAAGGAAAGAGAAGCUGGUUACUGCUUACUAUGCAGGAUCUGGAAGGAAAGAGAAGCUGGUUACUGCUUACUAUGCAGGAUCUGGAAGGAAAGAGAAGCUGGUUACUGCUUACUAUGCAGGAUCUGGAAGGAGAAGCUGGUUACUGCUUACUAUGCAGGAUCUGGAAGGAAAGAGAAGCUGGUUACUGCUUACUAUGCAGGAUCUGGAAGGAAAGAGAAGCUGGUUACUGCUUACUAUGCAGGAUCUGGAAGGAAAGAGAAGCUGGUUACUGCUUACUAUGCAGGAUCUGGAAGGAUAGAGAAGCUGGUUACUGCUUACUAUGCAGGAUCUGGAAGGAAAGAGAAGCUGGUUACUGCUUACUAUGCAGGAUAUGGAAGGAUAGAGAAGCUGGUUACUGCUUACUAUGCAGGAUAUGGAAGGAUAGAGAAGCCAUUGCUCCUUCACCCAGGAAUAUGUUUAGUUUUUUCUCUUGGUUUAAUGAGUAAAAAUGUUGAAUAAAUGUUGUAAAAUCUCUUGGUGAGGAAUAUUUCUCACAGUAAAGGAGAAAGUGCAUCUCUGUCUCUACCUCCCCUGUCGUGCAGUGACCACGUACACACUCCUCUUUGGGUAGCCAUGUCUUUUUAUGUCUGCCGGUUUCUAUUGCCAAUUGGUCACUCAGCCUGUACUUGGUAAGGAUCUGUCUCUGCUUCGUAUCUCUGACAGAGUAGAGAUAAUCAGCCAAUUCAUAUUUUCUGUUCAGAGCCAGAUAGCAAUUUAGUCGGCUUUGGGAUUUCGUUUCGUUUUUCCAAUGUUGUAAAUUUGAGUCCUUUGAUUGUUAUUGAUUUUGUUUAUUUGAAUUUUUUUUUUAGUCUUUUUUGAAUCAGUGCUGGUGUCAGCUUGGUUGGUUAGGUCCAAUACUAGCUUACUGAGAGGGCUUGUUUCUGGGCUCGGCUCUUGGGUUUGAAGUGCUUUAAAUUGGAGACUUGAAUUUAGGUGUAGCCAAAAUUGUAAUGAUCUUUUUUUUUGGUUUGUUCUUUCAUUACCACUGGAAAACAGCACCAUUCCGCCCGACUUGCAUUAGUUGGUGUAUUUCUUUAGACUUCUAGAAUGUUCCAACAUAGUUCUGCAUGUAUGGCUUUAAUUGGAUGUUUCUCCCACAUUUGAAAGUCCAUAGUAUUGAGUGGCCCCCAAACCUCACUUCUGUAAAGAGCUAUUGGAACCAAAUCAUCAACAUAGAGCAGGUAUUUUACCUCUGUGUCAAAUAGUGUGAGUCCUGGGGCUGGAGAAUGGUCCAACAUGUCUGCUAAUUCAUUUAAAUGUUGAAAAGGUUUGGACUCAAACUUCAGCCUUGUCUUUACACUUCAACGCUGGGAAAGUAGUUCUGUUCUGUGUUGUUUUUUUAGUUGUUAUUCCACACUUGUUUUCUGUGUUCAUAAAUUUGAUUGAGUCCACUUUGGAAAAUCUGAAGAAUGCCCCUUCGUGCCAAACAGAAUCAAACGCUUUUUAAAAGUCAAUAAAGGUUUGUGUGUGUGUGUGUGUGUGUGUGUGUGUGUGUGUGGUCAGUACUGUGAUGUACCAUUCAAAAUGAUUAAAUUGUUCCACAUGUCCCAGAACUGAUUCUGGUCAAUUGCGUUUUCCAAUUUCAUCAAGUGUCUUAUUGGUAAACUCAGCAAAAAAAGGAACGUCCCUUUUUCAGGACCCUGUCUUUCAAAGAUAAUUCGUAAAAAAUCCAAGUAACUUCACAGAUCUUCAUUGUAAAUGGUUUAAACGCUGUUUCCCAUUAAAUAAUUAAUGAACAUGCACCUGUGGAACGAUCAUUGAAGACCUGCACAGAGUUCAUUUAAUUUUAGUUCAAUGUUUCAAUGAAUUUGUCUGUGCUGUUUGGAGCCCAUCUGUACGAUAGGUUCAUGUUGUAGAGAUUAUUGGGCAGUUUUUUUUAUGAGUAUUGCUGGUAAAUUUCAGAAGCACGUUAAUCUGACCGGUGUCUGUAGUCUGACAGUGAAUGCACUAAUGUAGGAGGCGUCUAUGUCACUGAUGGCAUAAUUGACUAGGCUUGUCCCAAGAGCUGAGCAGUAAGGAAACCAACCUAAAAAAGACCCCUCUGAGUCUACCAUUAAGCAUGUACAGGCCUAAGGCUCGACAGAGAUGCACUAACUCCUUCCCAUUUUUUUGUUCAGUAUUUGGCCAGGACUGUUUCUAUUAUUUAUAAUAGGGCUACUGUACAAGGAGGGGUGUCCAAAUAUGUGGUGGUUACCUCCCGCAUCAGUGUAGUCAGGCUCAGAACCUGUUCUUGCAUCGAAAUCUCCGCAAAGAAGCACUUUACCCUGCGCCUGAAAUGUAAUGAUUUCUGUAUGGAGAUUGUCAAAAAAACGGAUCCUCAUAUUAUGAUGAAUCUGAAGGAGGAGCAUAAACUGCACAAAUGUAUACAUCAUUGUCACAAUAGAUUGUACAUGUUUUAGCCAAAUGUGGUUUUGUAUUAGCAAUACUCCCUGAACGUUCUCGUCCUUUAGUUUCUAGACAGUGUUGUCCUUGCUGGGUCACAGAGGCUGUUGGGGUGUUGCUUUUCUCCAUCUCCCUCCUGUUACUUUCUCCUUCUGAAACACAUCCUCAAAAGCCCGGAGGCUUGAAUCAUUGCCUCGUAUCAAUACAGUACUGUAUAGAUUGACUGUUUUGAUAUGUGUUGCUCUGGUCAGCUUCUUUAAAAGAAAGUAUGCUGAUUAUGACAUCCUUGGCUCCUUUUUCUUUGUUUUUUGAGAAAGGGAAAUAGUUGCAAAUAGCCAUUUUCCAAAUGUGUCCUCGUUUGGUAUUCAAUAUUUAAUUUGUUCUUGGUUUUGCAACUUGUAAGAUCUGCGAAGAUAUGUUCAUGGUUCUGUCCCAUCAUUAAACUUUUCUUUUUAGCUUUCUGUUGUGUAAACAAUUUCCGGUGUAAUGCUGGUGUUGUUGGCUACAAUGUUACAAUAGAAGCCUACCUUUUUUCCAAAAAACAAUGUUUCUUGUAUUAUUGUCUUCAGAGAACGGUUUGAUUUCAUGUUCUGUCUAUCUGUUGUGUUGUUAACUAGCUAUUUUUUGUUAGCUUUUGUUUUAGGAGAGUCCCUAGUCAUUUUUAUUUUGUUUUAUUUUUCCUUUGUUUAACGAGGCAAGUCAGUCAAUUAAGAACAAAUUCUUGUUUUCAAUGAUGCCGUAGGAACAGUGGGUUAACUGCCUUGUUCAGGGGGCAGAACGACAGAUUUUCACCUUGCUUAACAACUGGUAAACAAUCCAGAUAACUAAAAUAGCUGCCUAAUUUCACAAGCCUUCAUGUGUUGCUUGUUUUGUCUUCCAUUCAGUCUUGCAGCUUUCUUUUUGUUUUCCCACACCAUUUAAAUGUCAAUAUUUGUAGGAGCACAUUUUUUUUUUUCAGCAGCUGCUACUCAAUUUGGAACUCUGGAACCUUCCCCCUCUCUCUCUCUCUCUCUCUCUGUCGUCUCUGUCCUCUCUCUCUCUCCUCUCUCAAGCUGCUUUCUUGGCAUAAAAAAAAACAUUUGCAUUUUUAAUAUUGCCAAAGCAACAAUUUGUACAAUAUACAUUGUAAUAAAAUAAUGAAGAAUAAUGCAGAAUGGAUGUAAACACAGAGAGAGAGACAGAGAGCACACCUAGAGAGAGAGAGGGAGAGAGAG
rnacentral:lncRNA from 13 species